rnacentral:rRNA from 1 species
GGGGGACGGAGAAGGCUAUGUUGGCCGGGCGACGGUUGUCCCGGUUUAAGCGUGUAGGCUGGUUUUCCAGGCAAAUCCGGAAAAUCAAGGCUGAGGCGUGAUGACGAGGCACUACGGUGCUGAAGCAACAAAUGCCCUGCUUCCAGGAAAAGCCUCUAAGCAUCAGGUAACAUCAAAUCGUACCCCAAACCGACACAGGUGGUCAGGUAGAGAAUACCAAGGCGCUUGAGAGAACUCGGGUGAAGGAACUAGGCAAAAUGGUGCCGUAACUUCGGGAGAA